rnacentral:misc_RNA from 1 species
UUUCUGCCUCUUGCUGAGCUCUUUUUCCCUUUUUCUUUGCACUCUUGCUGACCUUGGACUGUUCUGGUUGGUUUGUAACAGAAACACCAGCUAUGGCCUUGACCAAAUUGUCAAGGUUGCUUUUCUCAUUUCCAUUACUGCUGCUGCUAUAGCCUAAUGAAGCAAGUUCUUCAGUAUGCUUCUCUUUUAGCUCAGUAGAAAGUUUAGAGAUCUGCUCUUCAACCUGCUUCUUCU